GACGAACGCUGGCGGCGUGCUUAACACAUGCAAGUCGAACGGUAAGGCCCUUCGGGGUACACGAGUGGCGAACGGGUGAGUAACACGUGGGUGAUCUGCCCUGCACUUCGGGAUAAGCCUGGGAAACUGGGUCUAAUACCGGAUAGGACUCCGGACUGCAUGGUCUGGGGUGGAAAGCUUUUGCGGUGUGGGAUGGGCCCGCGGCCUAUCAGCUUGUUGGUGGGGUGAUGGCCUACCAAGGCGACGACGGGUAGCCGGCCUGAGAGGGUGACCGGACACACUGGGACUGAGAUACGGCCCAGACUCCUACGGGAGGCAGCAGUGGGGGAUAUUGCACAAUGGGCGCAAGCCUGAUGCAGCGACGCCGCGUGAGGGAUGACGGCCUUCGGGUUGUAAACCUCUUUCAGCAUCGACGAAGCGAAAGUGACGGCAGGUGCAGAAGAAGGACCGGCCAACUACGUGCCAGCCGCCGCCGUAA
rnacentral:rRNA from 1 species